rnacentral:rRNA from 1 species
GACGAACGCUGGCGGCGUGCCUAAUACAUGCAAGUCGAACGCAGUGGGGACGGGGGAGUAACCCGUGGGUAACCUCCCAUCAGAGGGGAUAACACUUGGAAACAGGUGCUAAACCGAUACUGAUGGAUGGUCCCGCGGUGGAUUAGCUAGUUGGUGAGGUAAGGGUCCACAAAGGCCACGAUGCAUAGCCGACCGGAGAGGGUGAUCGGCCACACUGGAACUGAAACACGGCCCAGACUCCUACGGAAGGCAGCAGUAGGGAAUCUUCGGCAAGGGAGGAAAGCCGGACCGAGAAACGCCGCGUAGGUGAAGAAGGUUUUCGGAUCGUAAAACUCUGUUGUUAAGGAAGCGGUAUCUAACCAGAAAGCCACGGCUAACUACGUGCCAGCCGCCGCGGUAAUAC